rnacentral:rRNA from 1 species
UACAGAGGCCUCGAGCGUUAGGCGGAAUCACUGGGCUUAAAGCGUGUGUAGGCGGACUUCUAAGUACCUUGUGAAAUCCCACGGCUCACCCGUGGAACUGCUCGGUAUACUGGUCGUCUUGAGCCUUCUAGGGGCGAGUGGAACAAAUGGUGGAGCGGUGAAAUGCGUAGAUAUCAUUUGGAACGCCAAUGGUGAAAACAGGUAGCUGGGGCUGUGCUGACACUGAGACACGAAAGCCAGGGGAGCAAACGGG